AGUGAACGCUGGCGGUAGGCCUAACACAUGCCAGUCGAACGGCAGCUCAGUAAGAGCUUGCUCUUACGGGUGGCGAGUGGCGGACGGGUGAGGAAUACAUCGGAAUCUACUUUUUCGUGGGGGAUAACGUAGGGAAACUUACGCUAAUACCGCAUACGACCUACGGGUGAAAGCAGGGGAUCUUCGGACCUUGCGCGAUUGAAUGAGCCGAUGUCGGAUUAGCUAGUUGGCGGGGUAAAGGCCCACCAAGGCGACGAUCCGUAGCUGGUCUGAGAGGAUGAUCAGCCACACUGGAACUGAGACACGGUCCAGACUCCUACGGGAGGCAGCAGUGGGGAAUAUUGGACAAUGGGCGCAAGCCUGAUCCAGCCAUACCGCGUGGGUGAAGAAGGCCUUCGGGUUGUAAAGCCCUUUUGUUGGGAAAGAAAAGCAGCAGGUUAAUACCCCGCUGUUCUGACGGUACCCAAAGAAUAAGCACCGGCUAACUUCGUG
rnacentral:rRNA from 1 species